GACGUAGGGGGCGAGCGUUGUCCGGAUUUAUUGGGCGUAAAGCGUGCGUAGGCGGCUGCGCAAGUCGGUUGUGAAACCCCGGGGCUCAACCCCGGAACUGCAUCCGAUACUGCGUGGCUAGAGGUAGGUAGGGGAGAUCGGAAUUCCUGGUGUAGCGGUGAAAUGCGCAGAUAUCAGGAGGAACACCGGUGGCGAAGGCGGAUCUCUGGGCCUUACCUGACGCGCAGGCACGAAAGCUAGGGGAGCGAACAGG
rnacentral:rRNA from 1 species